UUUUAGUUCAUUUCCGAAACCUUUCUCCGUUUGGACCACGAGAGCCAUUUCGCGAGAUAGCCAUUCUCCAAGGACCACGAGUUUUCCCCGUAACAAGUAGCAUUCUCAGUGACAUCUCCUUUAAAAAGCAUCUCAUCAGUCUCUGGUACCUAUACAGGAACCAUGAUGACCGAGGAGGUUCCGACAGAAACAGAUUUAUGCAAUUUUUCGUGCAAGACAAGGAGAGAGAUAAAAGUGGCGUCAUCUUUAGUGGCUGGAUUCCAGAUCAAUCAGAGGAAUACGUCGCAUGAUUUGAAUUGUUGGACAAUCAGUCAGACCUAUCCAGACCAGUCAUUAUUUAGGUUAAUUCAAUAAACAUAAAUAUUCUUAGAAAAUAACUUACUCAUAUUAAUGCUGACAUCAGGCAUCAGCGACACGACAAGACUGAAUCAUUACACAACGUUCAACAUUAUAAGUUUUAAUCAGCAGAGGUAUCACACUCAAGGAAAAUAUUUCAACUAUUUUAGGAUAAUUAUAAGUUAAAUAAAAUUAAAACUGAAUAGUAUGUGUCUGGCGGAAAAAUUAAAUUGAGAAGUGUUAAAAUUCCUUAAUUUAAGGAAUUGCAAUCAUUGUAGCUCAGUCAAACUUAUGAAACUGAGGGAAAUUUUCGAUACGUUAAAUACUCUUUCUUGAGUAGCGACGCGACGACUAGUUUUUCAUUUUGCGUCACUGUGUUAGAAUCAACUACGUCUCGGAGUCGUGUAUUUUCGUUAUAAUUAGACUGAGGAUCUUUAUGCAAAUUAAAAUUUUUAAGAAUGCAGCGAGGAAAAUAGAAUUACGAUGCAAACAGAUUUUUUCUAAUAAAUGUUAUAAAAGACA